UACGGGGGGGGCAAGCGUUGUUCGGAAUUACUGGGCGUAAAGGGCUCGUAGGCGGCCAACUAAGUCGGACGUGAAAUCCCCGGGCUCAACCUGGGAACUGCGUCCGAUACUGGAUGGCUUGAAUCCGGGAGAGGGAUGCAGAAUUCCAGGUGUAGCGGUGAAAUGCGUAGAUAUCUGGAGGAGUACCGGUGGCGAAGGCGGCAUCCUGGACCGGCAUUGACGCUGAGGAGCGAAAGCCAGGGGAGCAAACGGG
rnacentral:rRNA from 1 species